rnacentral:rRNA from 1 species
AAUCCUGCUCAGGAUGAACGCUAGCUACAGGCUUAACACAUGCAAGUCGAGGGGCAUCAGGGUGUAGCAAUACACCGCUGGCGACCGGCGCACGGGUGAGUAACACGUAUCCAACCUGCCCUUUACUCGGGGAUAGCCUUUCGAAAGAAAGAUUAAUACCCGAUGGUAUAACAUGACCUCCUGGUUUUGUUAUUAAAGAAUUUCGGUAGAGGAUGGGGAUGCGUUCCAUUAGGCAGUUGGCGGGGUAAUGGCCC